rnacentral:rRNA from 1 species
AACGAACGCUGGCGGCAUGCCUAACACAUGCAAGUCGAACGAGACCUUCGGGUCUAGUGGCGCACGGGUGCGUAACGCGUGGGAACCUGCCCUUAGGUUCGGAAUAACUCCCCGAAAGGGGUGCUAAUACCGGAUAAUGUCUUCGGACCAAAGAUUUAUCGCCUUUGGAUGGGCCCGCGUUGGAUUAGCUAGUUGGUAGGGUAAAAGCCUACCAAGGCGACGAUCCAUAGCUGGUCUGAGAGGAUGAUCAGCCACACUGGGACUGAGACACGGCCCAGACUCCUACGGGAGGGAGCAGUGGGGAAUAUUGGACAAUGGGCGAAAGGCUGAUCCAGCAAUGCCGCGUGAGUGAUGAAGGCCUUAGGGUUGUAAAGCUCUUUUACCCGGGAUGAUAAUGACAGGAACGGGAGAAUAAGCCCCGGCUAACUCCGUG